UCCCUGGUGGUCUACUGGUUAGGACCUGGCACUUUCAUUGCUGCAGCCUGGGUUUAAUCCCUGGUCUGGGAA
rfam:Sus scrofa chromosome X.